AUACGUAGGGUGCGAGCGUUAAUCGGAAUUACUGGGCGUAAAGCGUGCGCAGGCGGCUUUGUAAGACAGGUGUGAAAUCCCCGGGCUCAACCUGGGAACUGCGCUUGUGACUGCAAGGCUCGAGUGUGGCAGAGGGGGGUGGAAUUCCACGUGUAGCAGUGAAAUGCGUAGAGAUGUGGAGGAACACCGAUGGCGAAGGCAGCCCCCUGGGUCAACACUGACGCUCAUGCACGAAAGCGUGGGUAGC
rnacentral:rRNA from 1 species